rnacentral:tRNA from 1 species
GGGAUUAUAAUUUAAUUGGUAAAAUACUAAUUUUGCAUAUUAGCUAUAGCAGUUCAAUUCUGCUUAAUUCCA